rnacentral:rRNA from 1 species
AGAGUUUGAUCCUGGCUCAGGAUGAACGCUAGCUACAGGCUUAACACAUGCAAGUCGAGGGGAAACGACAUCGAAAGCUUGCUUUUGAUGGGCGUCGACCGGCGUACGGGUGAGUAACGCGUAUCCAACCUGCCCACCACUUGGGGAUAACCUUGCGAAAGUAAGACUAAUACCCAAUGAUAUCUCUAGAAGACAUCUGAAAGAGAUUAAAGAUUUAUCGGUGAUGGAUGGGGAGUGCGUCUGAUUAGCUUGUUGGCGGGGUAACGGGCCCACCCAAGGCAACGAUCAGUAGGGGGUUCUGAGAGGAAGGUCCCCCCGCAUUGGAACUGAGACACGGUCCAAACUCCUACGGGAGGCAGCA